ACCCGCUUGGGUCCCCUUCCACGCUGUGCGAGCUUUGUUCUUUCGCUUUUUGCAAUAAAUCUUGCUACUGCUCACUCUUUGGGUCCACGCUGCUUUUAUGAGCUGUAACACUCACCGCGAAGGUCUGCAGCUUCACUCCUGAAGCCAGUGAGACCACGAGCCCACCGGAAGGAACGAACAACUCCAGACGCGCCACCUUAAGAGCUGUAACCCUCACCGCGAAGGUCCACGGCUUCAUUCCUGAGCCAGCGAGACCACGAACCCACCAGAAGGAAGAAACUCCAAACACAUCCGAACAUCAGAAGGAGAAAACUCCAGAUGCGCCACCUUAAGAGCUGUAACACUCACCGCGAGGGUCCGCAGCUUCAUUCUUGAAGUCAGUGAGACCAAGAACCCACCAAUUCUGGACACGCUACCUCGAUCCAGAUGAAGGUACCCCAAGCAGCUUGAGAUGUGAUGAUGGAGACCAGUUUGAGAAGACCCAUCAUCUCUGAUUUCCCUCUGAUUAUGAAGUAAUACAACAAAGCUACAGAAUAGAAACCCUCGAAUUGAUCCUGUUUUCUUAUGCCAGAGCCAUGGUACCAGCAUGAACAGCUUUCAUUCAUCUGACUUCACCAGAGCCAAUGGGAUCUCUGACUCUAGAAUCAUAGAUCCACCACCAGCUUGCUCCCUGCACCUGGAAAAGUGGCAGGCACUCAACAGCUUGUGAGAACAGCCAUUCAGGUGAACCCUGCAAGGCCACAGGGGUGGAGCUGCCCAAGGCCUUGGGAGUCCACCCCUUGCACCAGUGUGCUCUGGAUGUGACACACAGAGUCAAAGAAGAUUAUUUUGGAGCUCUAAGAUUUAUUUACUGCCCUGCUGGAUUUUAGACUUGUGUGGGACCCAUAACUCCUUUCUUUUGGCUGAUUCCUUCCUUCUGGAACAGGAGUGUUUACCCAAUGUCUGCACUCCCAUUGUA
rnacentral:lncRNA from 10 species